rnacentral:rRNA from 1 species
UACGGAGGGGACUAGCGUUGUUCGGAAUCACUGGGCGUAAAGCGCACGUAGGCGGAUCUUUAAGUCAGGGGUGAAAUCCUGGAGCUCAACUCCAGAACUGCCUUUGAUACUGGGGAUCUCGAGUCCGGAAGAGGUGAGUGGAACUCCGAGUGUAGCGGUGAAAUGCGUAGAGAUCAGGAGGAACGCCCAUGGCGAAGGCAGCUCUCUGGUCGACCUCUGACGCUGAGACGCGAAAGCGUGGGGAGCGAACGGG